GAGUUUGAUCCUGGCUCAGGACGAACGCUGGCGGCGCGCCUAACACAUGCAAGUCGAACGAGCAAAGAGGAGCUUGCUUCUCUGAGCGAGUGGCGAACGGGUGAGUAACGCGUGAGGAACCUGCCUCAAAGAGGGGGACAACAGUUGGAAACGACUGCUAAUACCGCAUAAGCCCACGGGUCGGCAUCGACCAGAGGGAAAAGGAGUGAUCCGCUUUGAGAUGGCCUCGCGUCCGAUUAGCUAGUUGGUGAGGUAACGGCCCACCAAGGCGACGAUCGGUAGCCGGACUGAGAGGUUGAACGGCCACAUUGGGACUGAGACACGGCCCAGACUCCUACGGGAGGCAGCAGUGGGGAAUAUUGCACAAUGGGGGAAACCCUGAUGCAGCGACGCCGCGUGGAGGAAGAAGGUCUUCGGAUUGUAAACUCCUGUUGUUGAGGAAGAUAAUGACGGUACCCAACAAGGAAGUGACGGCUAACUACGUGCCAGCAGCCGCGGUAAAACGUAGGUCACAAGCGUUGUCCGGAAUUACUGGGUGUAAAGGGAGCGCAGGCGGGAAGACAAGUUGGAAGUGAAAUCCAUGGGCUCAACCCAUGAACUGCUUUCAAAACUGUUUUUCUUGAGUAGUGCAGAGGUAGGCGGAAUUCCCGGUGUAGCGGUGGAAUGCGUAGAUAUCGGGAGGAACACCAGUGGCGAAGGCGGCCUACUGGGCACCAACUGACGCUGAGGCUCGGAAGUGUGGGUAGCAACAGGAUUAGAUACCCUGGUAGUCCACACCGUAAACGAUGAUUACUAGGUGUUGGAGGAUUGACCCCUUCAGUGCCGCAGUUAACACAAUAAGUAAUCCACCUGGGGAGUACGACCGCAAGGUUGAAACUCAAAGGAAUUGACGGGGGCCCGCACAAGCAGUGGAGUAUGUGGUUUAAUUCGACGCAACGCGAAGAACCUUACCAAGUCUUGACAUCCUGCGACGGACAUAGAAAUAUGUCUUUCCUUCGGGACGCAGAGACAGGUGGUGCAUGGUUGUCGUCAGCUCGUGUCGUGAGAUGUUGGGUUAAGUCCCGCAACGAGCGCAACCCUUAUGGUCAGUUACUACGCAAGAGGACUCUGGCCAGACUGCCGUUGACAAAACGGAGGAAGGUGGGGAUGACGUCAAAUCAUCAUGCCCUUUAUGACUUGGGCUACACACGUACUACAAUGGCGUUAAACAAAGAGAAGCAAGACCGCGAGGUGGAGCAAGACUCAGAAACCACGCCCCAGUUCGGACUGCAGGCUGCAACUCGCCUGCACGAAGUCGGAAUUGCUAGUAAUCGUGGAUCAGCAUGCCACGGUGAAUACGUUCCCGGGCCUUGUACACACCGCCCGUC
rnacentral:rRNA from 1 species